GAUGAAGAACGUAGCGAAAUGCGAAAAGUAAUGUGAAUUGCAGAAUUCAGUGAAUCAUCGAAUCUUUGAACGCACAUUGCGCCCGCUGGUACUCCGGCGGGCACGCCUGUCCGAGCGUCAUUUCAACCCGCAAGCCCUCCUUCGGGAUGGGCCUGGUGUUGGGGCUCGGCCGCCAUCUCCGGCGGCCGUCCCCUAAAUACAGUGGCGGUCACGUCGCGACUCCUUUGCGUAGUAGAAACACCUCGCUCCGGAUAGCAACGCGGUCCACGCCGUAAAACCCCCAAUUUUCAAUGGUUGACCUCGGAUCAGGUGGGAAUACCCGCUGAACUUAAGCAUAUCAAUAAGCGGAGGA
rnacentral:misc_RNA from 1 species